AAUGACUAAUUACCUCCUUCUUUUCGAAGUCGGUUAAAAAUAAAAUAAAAAGAAAAUCACAAAAUAUGGAAUUUAGAAAGAACGAAGUUGUUUGAUACGCAAUGGUAGAAAGAAAUCAACCCUGACGAAGAUAUUUCAAGCAGAGACGUUGUACAUUGGAAAGGCCAUGACUUUAUCCAUGACUCUGGUUAGACGCCAGAUCUCGCUCUUGUCCACAGAACACAUAAUUUCUGCUUUUCAUUUGAUAGAAAUUCGCUACGUUGACUAACAAAUAUUUUUCUUAUAACAAUUUUCGAGAGGAAUUCAUUAUUGAAUGAAAGUAAAAAUUUGCAUAAAUGGAGGGUGGAUGGGAUGAGGUAGGGCGGGUCUUCAAACCACAGCAACCUCCUCGUGGUGAGAACUGGGCAAUCGUUAUUAUUUGAUGACUAAUUAAUAACUGUAUCAUUAUUUCUAUGGUACAUUUAUUAAUUAUACAGCAAAUAAUACGAGCGAAUUGGCUGCGAAAUUUAUGCUUUCUUUUCUAUUUAAUCUCUGUUAUAUAUUUUUCAGGAACUAUGCCUUUCAGAUUCUGAAGUGUAUCACAUUGCAACUACAAUUUUACGGAACGAAAAUUAAUAAUAAUGAAUGUAUGGUGUUUUUCUAUAACCACGAGAGCAAUGUUCAGGUAGUAUUACUGAGUUUAUUUCAUGAGCUACUCCAGCUUUAUUCAUAAUGUCACAUUUUACCAGCGUUGCAUCAUCCACCUGAAAGAAAAGAAUUUUUAAAACGGAAAUAUUCGUAAUAAAUAAAC